GACGAACGCUGGCGGCGUGCCUAAUACAUGCAAGUCGAACGAAGCGGCGGAUGGGUGAGAACUGCGUGGGUAACCUGCCCUUCAGUCUGGGAUACCAUUUGGAACCAGAUGCUAAUACCGGAUACUAACGGAUGGACCUGCGAUGCAUUAGCUAGUUGGUAAGGUAACGGCUUACCAAGGCGAUGAUGCAUAGCCGGGUUGAGAGACUGAUCGGCCACAUUGGGACUGAGACACGGCCCAAACUCCUACGGGAGGCAGCAGUAGGGAAUCUUCCACAAUGGACGAAAGUCUGAUGGAGCAACGCCGCGUGAGUGAAGAAGGUUUUCGGAUCGUAAAGCUCUGUUGUUGGUGAAGCGGUAAUCAACCAGAAAGUCACGGCUAACUACGUGCCAGCAGCCGCGGUAAUUC
rnacentral:rRNA from 1 species